AGUCCAGCUGCAUGCAUAGACAGAUUACAAAAUGAAUCCAGACCGAUUGUAACAAAAUUUCAUGAACAAGAGAUAAGUUUAUGCACCCAUCUUUAAAACUACACAAAUCAGCAACACUAAAUAGCAAAAAAAAACAAGUGUCAUCCUCUAAGAUAGUCCACAUUGGAUUUGAAGUUUCAUGUCUAGACAAAAUUUUAACCUCAUUUAGGCAAUGUUUUCAAAUUUGAUAAUGGAGGGAAAAAAUGAUGAACAAAUGAUCAAAGGGCCAGCAAACUGGAUCGAAAAUGCAAGGCCCGGUCCAAAAAGCCCACAUGGAUGGCAAGCAAACAAAAUCUGGUCAGAAGCAAAAGGGUCUUGUCAUUUUCACAUGCUCUGCCCUCAAUUCAACUUUAUCAAGAAACAACUAUCACGCUGCUGCAAUUCAAAUUUCAAAUUCAAAUCACACACUCUCUCUCUCCCUCUUCUUUCACGUUCUUUAACAUUCUUUAACAUUGCUUUCACCUUCAUUCAACAUUCAUUUCUUCGUCCGUUUCUCUGCUUCAUCUCCCAGAAUCUAGAUUCACUUCCAUCGCAAUCUUCAGGUUCUUAACACACCAAUCCAACGAAAGCUACUACUUAAAGGUGGUGUAGCAGAUUGUGCAUAUUGGAAGGAUAAUUCUCUGUGCCAUAAUUUAGAUGUAAGUUAAACCAAGUUUUGAUGGUUUUCCUAAAGGCCAAAAGAUUUGUAGACUAUUUGGCUACUUUGGUCCUCUAAAUGAAGUUUUCGUGCCUCAUGAUUAUUAUAUUAGGUUAUUGGUAAAACAUUGGUCCUUGAUGAGAUAAUCAAUUAUACUCAAUCAUAUCACCACCAAGUAGAGCAAAGCUUUUGAUAAAUGGUUGCAUAAAAGGGUUGAAAGUGAUAUAAUGCUUCCAAAAAGGUUGUUGGAGAGUCUUUCACAUGAUGAUUUUUUGAAGUUUCUGGAGCAAGUCCAUGUGCAUCUACAUUAUUGUCAGAGAAGUCACAAAACCUUAUGAAGAUACUUUUGUAUGGAUUUGAUGUAUAAGCAUGGAGAAAGGUUUCUUCAGCUUCUUCAAAUAGAAAGGUUUCAACUUGCUUCUCAAUCCCUUCCUUAUUUCAUCAUUUGAUUUCAUAUUCUGAUUUAUUUAUUUUUUUGGAAUGUUAUUGUUUGUUCAUUAGGUUCACAAAUUAGGGUUUCAUUGGGUAAGUUUUAUGAACUUUAAUUGAUUGUAUUUGAGUAGUAUUUAGCUGAACUUUAAUUUGAGUAUGUGAUAGAGUAUAGUGCUAAUUAAAUUUGAGUAAGUUUCUUGGAGUAUGACAAAGAAGAAUGUGUCUCCGAAUGGCAAAAAUACAGAGCUUGUCUUUCUUAACAUUUGGAAGAUAGAAAAAUGAUUCAUAUAUUGGAAGGUGAAAAUGUUGUUCAAGAAGAUAGUGCUGUUGCUUCUCAGUAGCAUAUCACAUGUUUGCUGUAAUGACAGUGAUCAAUUUAGUAGCUUUCACUGCUCACUAGCAAUUUAUUAUCGUUCCUUCAAAUUUUCCAUAAUUUGUAACAUUGAGUUGUUUAAAUUAUAGAAUCAUAGAAACUUAGGGUCAACCUUGAUAUAGACUAUAGAGUAUUUUACUUUGACAUGAAUAGUUUUAAGAAUGGAACUAAGGUUAUGGACAGAGUUUAAUGUCCAUGCCUAAUUUUUAAUCAAGAUUGAGUCACUUACUCAUUGACAACCAAAAAAAAUAAGAUUUUCAAUUUUUUUUAUUGUAAAAGUGAGCACCGACAAAGUGUUUGACCAAAUGUCUCAAUAUGCAAAACUAUUGAAAAUAUUCCCUACUUAGAAUUUCUGUUGAAAAUAUUGUUGGUUAGUUGUCAUAUUUAUUAGGAUUUGUUUCUAUCUUUUAGUCAAUAAUCCCUACUUCUUAGGAGUUGUUAGUGGGAUUUAGAUGGUUUUCUCGGCACACCACUUUUUCAGAAUUCCAGGUUUAGUUAGAUUUUAUAAUAAUGGUUAAUUUUUUUUUUUCAAUCUUUUUUUUCCAGUGUGAUGUAUAUUGUAUAUUCUUAUCAUUAUACUGAUUUAUGUAUGUUCUUAUCAUAAUAUUUUUCAUUACAUGGUUAAUUUUGUGUUUAUUUGUGAAAUAAAGAUUUACAGUAUAUGUUUAUUUGUGUUAAUUUUGAUAUACUAGAUGUAACUAUCGAUUCAUUAGCUAUGGUUGUUAUAUGUUUCUGAGAAGAAUUUGAUUUUCAGAGUGUUGUUGAAUUGAUUCUGGGGCAUGAAUAAUGAAUUAUUGAUAAAAUCACUAGGAAUCUUUAGUCAAAUGGUUCUUGAGGUGUGACAGAGUUUUUCUAGGCAAGAUGCGGUUAAUUAAUCAGACUCAAUAGCCACAGAGGAAGCGACAAGGGAUAAUAGUAGUGAUUUUCGUGAGUUUCAAAGAUCUAUUGGUUGAAUUGUUAAGAUCGAGACGUGGAAAAAGAAGGCUGGGGUCGCCUCUGUGGAAGCUCGAACUUGAAGCUUGAACUUCGACUAACUCGUGAGUUGAGGUUUAUGUAAAGUUAAGGUGAACGAUCAUAUCAACUCAAUUUGAGAAGUUGAUAUAAUAUUGAUUUGGUUAUGCAUCUCUAAAGCUAUUUGGUUAUGCAGAAAUACUAAAUUUGUUGGUUCGUCAGAGGUAUAUUUUAUUCUAUAAUACCACAACUACAUCAGAGGUAUAAUCAAUCACUCCAUUUUUUUUUUCAUCAUGAAAUGAUCAUCACUUCUUUCAUUUUGUUCUUUGUUUUCAUAUAUAACUUAAAAUUAAAGGUACUAUUCGAUACAACUACAUCUAAUGUAGCACAAAGUACAAACACUUCAUUGUGGAUAGUGUUUUUGUGAUGCCUCAGUCACCGUAUAAGUAGACCACUUAUAGUUUGAUACUUUUAAUUACUUUUAGUUUGAUUUAGAUAGAAAGGAUUAUUGUCAUUAUUUGAAUUCCUUACUUUAGUGAGAGUUGGUGAGGUACAUAGCUUUGAUUGCAUUUUUCCUUUCUUCCAGAUUCUCCUAUAGAUCGUUUGUCGCUGACAGAGUAGACCACCGAUUUUUGUUUUUUUGUUUCAGUUUCUUUGGCUUUAUUUUUUUGGUCUUAUAUAUCAUUCAAUUGUGGUCUUAUUUUUUUAUGAUUUUCUAUACUAUCAUUUGUAUGCAAUUAGUGAAAGAAUUAGUGAAAAUAGAUAAUUUGUUAGCUUUUACAUCACCAACUUUAAGAAAUUUUAUAUAAAUGGUGUCUUCUUCAUCAUAAUUUUUUAAAUGAUUUAUUUAAAUUUUUGCAAAAACUGUAUGAAAUCAACUAUAAUACUCUAUUUGCACU